CGAGAUGAGGGGAUUUCUGUGAAGCGUGUGGGUUAUGGUUUACACUUAUCGAGGUCUUUUCUUUUUCAGGUUAUGGACGACGAAGUUUGGAAGAGCUUGUUUCUUUUCUGUUUAGACGAUAUUUUGGAUUGUUUUAGUAUUUAUGUUUUCCUCGCCUUUAACUUUGCAAGUUAUGUAAGAGGGAUAGGAGUUGUAUGAUUUGUAUGUAUGUAAUAUGUAUAAGUUACUUGAGUAAGAAGUUUUGUACAUGUA